GCUAAUGCUUUAGCGAGCCGGGAAGAUAGGGGGCGGGGAAGAAGAGGGACGUGUACCCCUCCCUCAUUCACCGUACAGACAUUUACCUGAACUCAUCACCUUCCACCCCCAUCCCAUCCCAUCGACUCUGUGCUGUAUCCUGAACCGGCUGACAGAAUAAUGAUGUAGACUUGACUUGUUUUCGCCAACCUGGAAUGAAGCAAAGCUCUUGUGCACCCGAGAUCUGCUCUGUGUUGUAAAUCCUGUUCAGACCUGGUCUAAUUGGUUUGAAUAAAUAAAGAACCGGAAUCUUUCUCAUCCAAA
rnacentral:antisense_RNA from 1 species